rnacentral:rRNA from 1 species
GGGANUGCCUCAGUAACGGCGAGUGAAGCGGCAACAGCUCAAAUUUGAAAUCUGGUGCCCCUGGGCGCCCGAGUUGUAAUUUGCAGAGGAUGCUUCGGGAUCGGCGCUGCCCCAGGUUCUUUGGAACAGGACGCCAUAGAGGGUGAGAGCCCCGUCUCUGGGUGGCAGCCGGUACCGUGUGAAGCGCCUUCGACGAGUCGAGUUGUUUGGGAAUGCAGCUCAAAACGGGAGGUAAAUUUCUUCCAAGGCUAAAUACAGGCCGGAGACCGAUAGCGCACAAGUAGAGUGAUCGAAAGAUGAAAAGUACUUUGGAAAGAGAGUCAAACAGCGCGUGAAAUUGUUGAAAGGGAAGCGCUUGCAGUCAGACUUGGCCGCCCGGUUCGGCGGGGCCUCGCGCCCCGUCUCCGCCGUGGCGGUCAGGCCAGCAUUGGUUCGGGCGACCGGAGAAAGGCUGCGGGAAUGUGGCUCCUCUCGGGGAGUGUUAUAGCCCGCGGCAGAAUACGGCCAGCCCGGACCAAGGAACGCGCUUCGGCUCGGAUGCUGGCGUAAUGGCGGCAAGCGGCCCGUCUUGAAACACGGACCAAGGAGUCUAACAUCUGUGCGAGUGUUUGGGUGUCAAGCCCUUGCGCGCAAUGAAAGUGAACGGAGGUGGGAGCCCUCGGGCGCACCAUCGACCGAUCCUGAUGUCUUCGGAAGGAUUUGAGUAAGAGCACAGCUGUUGGGACCCGAAAGAUGGUGAACUAUGCCUAAGCAGGGUGAAGCCAGAGGAAACUCUGGUGGAGGCUCGCAGCGGUUCUGACGUGCAAAUCGAUCGUCAAAUUUGGGUAUAGGGGCGAAAGACUAUCGA